GGAGCUGGCUCAGUAGUUAAGAGCACUGACUGCUCUUCCAGAGGACCUGGGUUCAAUUCCCAGCAUCCA
rnacentral:tRNA from 1 species